GAUUUCUUCGGGAUGAAAGUUUUGUGACUGAGUGGCGGACGGGUGAGUAACGCGUGGGUAACCUGCCUCAUACAGGGGGAUAACAGUUAGAAAUGACUGCUAAUACCGCAUAAGACCACAGGAUUGCAUGAUCCGGUGGUAAAAACUCCGGUGGUAUGAGAUGGACCCGCGUCUGAUUAGGUAGUUGGUGGGGUGACGGCUCACCAAGCCGACGAUCAGUAGCCGACCUGAGAGGGUGACCGGCCACAUUGGGACUGAGACACGGCCCAAACUCCUACGGGAGGCAGCAGUGGGGAAUAUUGCACAAUGGGGGAAACCCUGAUGCAGCGACGCCGCGUGAGCGAUGAAGUAUUUCGGUAUGUAAAGCUCUAUCAGCAGGGAAGAAAAUGACGGUACCUGACUAAGAAGCACCGGCUAAAUACGUGCCAGCAGCCGCGGUAAUACGUAUGGUGCAAGCGUUAUCCGGAUUUACUGGGUGUAAAGGGAGCGUAGACGGAGAGGCAAGUCUGAUGUGAAAACCCGGGGCUCAACCCCGGGACUGCAUUGGAAACUGUUUUUCUAGAGUGUCGGAGAGGUAAGUGGAAUUCCUAGUGUAGCGGUGAAAUGCGUAGAUAUUAGGAGGAACACCAGUGGCGAAGGCGGCUUAC
rnacentral:rRNA from 1 species